rnacentral:rRNA from 1 species
UACGUAGGGUGCGAGCGUUAAUCGGAAUUACUGGGCGUAAAGCGUGCGCAGGCGGUUUUGUAAGCCAGAUGUGAAAGCCCCGGGCUCAACCUGGGAAUGGCAUUUGGGACUGCAAGGCUUGAGUGCGGCAGAGGAGACUGGAAUUCCUGGUGUAGCAGUGAAAUGCGUAGAUAUCAGGAGGAACACCGAUGGCGAAGGCAGGUCUCUGGGCCGAUACUGACGCCGAGGAGCGAAAGCGUGGGGAGCGAACAGG